ensembl:lncRNA
CGGAUGUUGCUGUGAGCUUCCAUCUGUCCAUGCUGUCGUGAAUUCAUUUUAUGUGUGAGUGAAACAUGUCCAAGACCUUCUCACAUAGAAGACAAGAUGUUGUGCAGAGCCCUCACGUGAAUGCCUUCAAAGGCUGUUCCAGCCUAUUCAGAUAGAGGAAGAGUUCCAAAGACCCACGACCGUCUGACUUCGUUCCACCUUUCAUGGGCAAUGUUGUCCUUGUAUAAGUCAAAAGGAGGUGCUGUUAAGGAAGAGUUGCAGGGCAUCCUGGAAGCGCAGUGCAGCGUAUGCAGUCAAGAGACAUUCACAGUACAGUCAAUAAUGACAUUUGAUUACAUUUAUUUAGUUGCCUGUAUAUAGUAAAUACAACCAUUUUGACAGUGACAACACCAUAGAGG